UCAGUUACCCCUUUGUCCAAGGAAGCCGGGAACUUCUCACCAUGGACAAGGCCCUGAUGCUCUUCCUGUUUGUGACAUUUUUCGGGGGUUGCGAUGCCCAAGUCACCAUGACUCAGCCGCCCUCUAUGUCGGCUUCCAUUGGAGAGACUGUUAAGAUCGCCUGUAGGAGAAGCAGUGGGGGCAUAAGCGACUACUAUAAUUCCUGGUACCAACAGAAGCCCGGCAGUGCUCCAAUAUUACUGAUAUUUGAACAGAGCAGCAGAGCCUCCGGAAUCUCGGACCGAUUCUCAGGUUCUCUGGACAGCUCUGCCAAUGCCGCCGUCUUAACCAUCUCCAAUGUUCAAAUAGAUGACGAGGCCGAUUAUUAUUGUUCAGUUUAUGUGGGCAGCGGCCAGCACACGAUGAUACAAGCACAUGGGGUAGUGAGACAAAAACCUCCGUUCUGCAGAUGUGA